rnacentral:lncRNA from 1 species
GAAAACAGAAGAGGGAGCUGGUAGGGUCCAUGACCCUACACAAUGCACUGACCCAAGGGCAGGCAAACAGUUUAUUUUUUAGCCACCGUCUCCCCAGCUGCGAUGACUCCCCCUCCGCUCCAAUCAGCCCAGCAGUCAGCCCCAGCUCCCUCGGACCCUGAAUGCAAACAGCUGGGUCGAAGCCAACCGACCGGAUGCAUUACCUGUUGCCUUAGAAACCAAUAAGGGAUGGAUGUGUCUGACAUUUCCUCACGGGGGGAACCCGACGCGGGCUUGAGUCUUUUCUGUGGCUGGGAGAGGAAGAGGAAAAUAAAACAAGUAAGAAUGCCAGAGAUCAGGAAACCCGUCUACUCCCCUGGUGGACGAGAAGCAGCUUCGAUGAGACUCCAAGCUGCACAGCUUCCUCGUUGCCCUGUUUCCAGCCCCCUGCCAAAACAUUUCCUCACUUGGAUUCCUGUGUGAGGUGAGCCUUCUAUCCUGAAAUGCACCCACACCCACACCCAGAGACACAUAUGCACAUGAACACACAAAUACACAUGCACAAAUACACACACAAAAAGACCAACUAUGCACACAAACUCACAGAUACACAAGAACAAACACAAAUAUUCCCUCAAACACAUAGCUACAGAAAAACAAACACACAAAUGUGCCCACAAAUACAUGCAUAAGAAGUACAAACACAUGCACACAAAAUGGCUCAUAAAUACACAUACGCAGCCAUUGUUGGGUAGGGAUAGUCUCCAUCUGUAGCCGAAUUGUACUCUCGAAGCACUUAGUACAGUGCUUUGCAUGCAAUAAGCGCUCAAUAAAUGUGAUUGAAUGAAUAGACAACCAAAAGGGCACACACAAACACAAACACACACACAUACAUAAAUUAAGAGGUGCAGAGGUAGCUACACUGCCCCAUCCCCAAACACACACCAGCCCACACAUGAUCCAGCCCUCACACCGUGCAUUUUAAUAGGAACAGAGUUUUGGAAGGGACGAAAUUACAACCGGAAAGGUGAAAUGAAAUGAAUGAAAGGCAAAGAUUCCUGCUUGGGCACGCAGGUCCCGGGCAGCCAGCACCUAGCGCCUCCUCUAACGCCGCUCCCCAACGCCGGGACUUGACGCUGUCCUCUCGGUGAACCCUACAAAAUUAGCUCAACGUGAUGCCGCGUUCCCUGUUUUCUGGAGGAUCAAAGUUCCUGGAUCCCGGCCCGGCCUUCGGCUGAUAACCGGGUCACGGGAUAAGUUCGCGCCCGUGUACUGCUUGUUACACACCGCGGUGUGCGUAUCCCCCUGGAUUUCCCCGGUUAGAGCCAUACAGGGAAAUAACCGGGGCUCACAUUUUUCCCUUUCGGGCGAUAGAGCUAAUCUCGAGACCGUGAGAUCAUUUCUGUAUGCUCCACCCUCUUUACCAGCCUCGCUGGAACCAGGAAAAUGUGUUUUGCCUCCUCUCCUAAGAGGCUACCCUUCCAGAGCAGGCCCCUGCUACCGUUGUCAUAAUAACAGCAGCUCCUUGUAGCACUUAAAAUGCUUGUCUCACAACAGCAGCAUGACAAAGGGGAUCAGUCCCGUAUCAGGAGGACCGGCGGGGAUUAAAUGCCAUCCGAAGGGAGAAAGCUACCUUCGUGGUAUCAGAAGGCCUUGAAGAGAAGCAGCUUGGCCUAGUGGGUAGAGCGUGGGCCUGGGAGUCAGAAGGACCUGGGUUCUAACCCCGGCUCUGCCACUCGUCUGCUCUGUGAGCCUGGGCAAGUCGCUUCGCUUCUCUGGGCCUCCGUUCCCUCAUUUGCAGAAUGGGGAUUCAAAACCCGUUCUCCCUCUGACUAAGACUGUGAGUUCCAUAGGGGACUGGAUGGUUUUGUCUUUGACUCAGCGCUUGUAACAUAGAAAGAGCUCAACAAAUACCACAGUUAUCAUCAUUGUUAUUCUCUGUUCCUAAGUUACCUCAUGUAUAAAAUGGGGAUUAAAACUGAGAGCCCCAGGUGGGAUAUGGACUGUGUCCAAACCGAUUAGCUUGUAGGUGCCAGUGCUAGAAGCAGCGUGACUUAGUGGAAAGAGCAUGGGCUUGGGAAUCAGAGGACUUGGGUUGUAUCGUUUUUGUCUGUCUCUCUCCCCCGAUUAGACUGUAAGCCCGUCAAAAGGCAGGGACUGUCUCUAUCUGUUACCGAUUUGUACAUUCCAAGCGCUUAGUACGAUGCUCUGCACAUAGUAAGCGCUCAAUAAAUGCUAUUGAAUGAAUGAAUGAAUACUUCCACUUGAACUCCUUUGAUAUGGUUUUUAUUAAACCCACAUACUUCGCUGCCUGCAAAUGUGUUGUGGGCAAGAAACAAGUCUACCUCCUCUGUAGAGAAGCAGCAUGGCAUUGUGGAUAGAGCCUGGGAGUCAGAAGGUAAUGGGUUCUAAUCCCGGCUCUGCCACUUGUCUGCUGUGUGACCU